rnacentral:rRNA from 1 species
UACGAAGGGUGCAAACGUUGCUCGGAAUUAUUGGGCGUAAAGCGCACGUAGGCGGCUUAGCAAGUCGGAUGUGAAAUCCCUCGGCUCAACCAAGGAAGUGCAUCCGAAACUGCUGAGCUUGAGUACGAAAGAGGAUCGCGGAAUUCCCGGUGUAGAGGUGAAAUUCGUAGAUAUUGGGAGGAACACCAGUGGCGAAGGCGGUCCCCUGGGCCGGAACUGACGCUGAGGCGCGAAAGCGUGGGUAGCAAACGGG